rnacentral:rRNA from 1 species
CCUACGGGGGGCAGCAGUGGGGGAUAUUGCACAAUGGGGGAAACCCUGAUGCAGCGACGCCGCGUGGGUGAAGAAGCGCCUCGGCGCGUAAAGCCCUGUCAGCAGGGAAGAAAAUGACGGUACCUGAAGAAGAAGCCCCGGCUAACUACGGGCCAGCAGCCGCGGGAAUACGGAGGGGGCAAGCGUUAGCCGGAUUUACUGGGUGUAAAGGGGGCGCAGACGGCGAGGCAAGCCAGGAGUGAAAGCCCGGGGCCCAACCCCGGGACUGCUCUUGGAACUGCGUGGCUAGAGUGCAGGAGGGGCAGGCGGACUUCCUGUUGUAGCGGUGAAAUGCGUCGAUAUCAGGAGGAACACCGGUGGCGAAGGCGGCCUGCUGGACUGCAACUGACGUUGAGGCCCGAAAGCGUGGGGAGCAAACAGGAUUAGAUACCCUUGUAGUC